GAUGAACGCUGGCGGCGUGCCUAAUACAUGCAAGUCGAGCGAACGGACGAGAAGAUUGCUUCUCUGAUGUUAGCGGCGGACGGGUGAGUAACACGUGGAUAACCUACCUAUAAGACUGGGAUAACUUCGGGAAACCGUAGCUAAUACCGGAUAAUAUUUUGAACCGCAUGGUUCAAAAGUGAAAGACGGUCUUGCUGUCACUUAUAGAUGGAUCCGCGCUGCAUUAGCUAGUUGGUAAGGUAACGGCUUACCAAGGCAACGAUGCAUAGCCGACCUGAGAGGGUGAUCGGCCACACUGGAACUGAGACACGGUCCAGACUCCUACGGGAGGCAGCAGUAGGGAAUCUUCCGCAAUGGGCGAAAGCCUGACGGAGCAACGCCGCGUGAGUGAUGAAGGUCUUCGGAUCGUAAAACUCUGUUAUUAGGGAAGAACAUAUGUGUAAGUAACUGUGCACAUCUUGACGGUACCUAAUCAGAAAGCCACGGCUAACUACGUG
rnacentral:rRNA from 1 species